rnacentral:rRNA from 1 species
UCGAGAAUUUUUCUCAAUGGGGGAAACCCUGAAGGAGCGACGCCGCGUGGAGGAUGAAGGCUUUCGGGUUGUAAACUCCUGUCAUUUGGGAACAAUACCUAUUAGUUAACUGCUAGCAGGUUGAUAGUACCAGAAGAGGAAGAGACGGCUAACUCUGUGCCAGCAGCCGCGGUAAUACAGAGGUCUCAAGCGUUGUUCGGAUUCAUUGGGCGUAAAGGGUGCGUAGGUGGCGCGCUAAGUCAGGUGUGAAAUUUCGGAGCUUAACUCCGAAACUGCAUUUGAUACUGGCGUGCUUGAGGACUGGAGAGGAGACUGGAAUUCAUGGUGUAGCAGUGAAAUGCGUAGAGAUCAUGAGGAAGACCAGUGGCGAAGGCGGGUCUCUGGACAGUUCCUGACACUGAGGCACGAAGGCCAGGGGAGCAAACGG